AUUGAACGCUGGCGGCAGGCCUAACACAUGCAAGUCGAACGAGUGGCGGACGGGUGAGUAAUGUCUGGGAAAAUGCCCGAUGGAGGGGGAUAACUACUGGAAACGGUAGCUAAUACCGCAUACCAUCGGAGGUGCCCAGAUGGGAUUAGCGAGUAGGUGGGGUAACGGCUCACCUAGGCGACGAUCACUAGCUGGUCUGAGAGGAUGACCAGCCACACUGGAACCGAGACACGGUCCAGACUCCGACGGUAGGCAGCAGUGGGGAAUAUUGCACAAUGGGCGCAAGCCUGAUGCACCCCUGCCGCGUGUAUGAAGAAGGCCUUCGGGUGUUAAAGUACUUUCAGCGAGGAGGCGUUACUCGCAGAAGAAGCACCGGCUAACUCCGUGCCAGCAGCCGCGGUAAUAC
rnacentral:rRNA from 1 species